rnacentral:rRNA from 1 species
UACGUAGGGUGCGAGCGUUGUCCGGAAUUAUUGGGCGUAAAGGGCUCGUAGGCGGUUUGUCGCGUCGGGAGUGAAAUCCACUGGCUUAACUGGUGGCUUGCUUUUGAUACGGGCAGACUGGAGGUAUGCAGGGGAGAACGGAAUUCCUGGUGUAGCGGUGAAAUGCGCAGAUAUCAGGAGGAACACCGAUGGCGAAGGCAGGUCUCUGGGCAUUAACUGACGCUGAGGAGCGAAAGCAUGGGGAGCGAACAGG